AUCACGUAGCCCCAGUACACAGAAUCUGUUGCCUCUUCCUGAACUCUUUUGUGUCUGGCUGGCCUAGAAAACACCCUCGGUGGGUGAUAAUUCUAAAUUCCAUCAAGUUGACCAUCAAGGUUAAUCACCACGGUCUGAUUUUGAUUUUUCUCAAAUCAGAGAAGACAUAGGGACAGACACUUAAUCCCACGGAGCCUCAAAUCAGUCUCAUUUUGAUGACCAAGGCUUCCAUGAGUGCUGUGGAAGAAGCCAGCAUCCUGUUCUGUCAACGUGGUCAUGAACUACAUGUGACAAUAGGGUUCUUGGAUUGUGUCUUAUCAAAGCUGACAUGAGCUCUUCUGCUUCUUUAAUUUCCAUCAUUGUUUCUGGUGGGGACUGGGCAGGUCAUAUGCUUUGGACCUUGAAACUCAAGAGGUAAUUCAUUCCUAGCAUGAGUGCUAUUUCACACUCAGGUAAGCAUGGUCAC